rnacentral:rRNA from 1 species
UUUUGACCUCGGAUCAGGUAGGAAUACCCGCUGAACUUAAGCAUAUCA